rnacentral:rRNA from 1 species
AGAGUUUGAUCAUGGCUCAGGAUGAACGCUAGCGGCGUGCCUAAUGCAUGCAAGUCGAACGGGAACCUUUGGAAUUAUUCUAAAGGCGAGAGUGGCGAACGGGCGAGUAACACGUUGGUGACCUGCCCCAGAGAGGGGGAUAACCAUUGGAAACGAUGGCUAAUACCCCAGAUGUCGUUACAGUUAGAGAGUAGCGACUAAAGCUCCGGCGCUCUGGGAGGGGCCUGCGGCCCAUCAGCUAGUUGGCAGGGUAACGGCCUACCAAGGCAAAGACGGGUAGGGGGCGUGAGAGCGUGACCCCCCACACUGGUACUGAAACACGGACCAGAUACCUACGGGUAGCAGCAGCAAGGAAUAUUGCCCAAUGGACGCAAGUCUGAGGCAGCAACGCCGCGUGGAGGAAGAAGGCCUUCGGGUUGUAAACUCCUUUUCUGGGGGAAGAGAAAGGACGGUACCCCAGGAAUAAGUCUCGGCUAACUACGUGCCAGCAGCCGCGGUAAAACGUAGGAGGCGAGCGUUAUCCGGAUUUACUGGGCGUAAAGCGCGUGCAGGCGGUUUUCUAAGUCGGACGUGAAAGCUCCUGGCUCAACUGGGAGAGGUCGUUCGAAACUAGGAGGCUUGAGGAUGGUAGAGGAGAGUGGAAUUCCCGGUGUAGUGGUGAAAUGCGUAGAUAUCGGGAGGAACACCAGUGGCGAAGGCGGCUCUCUGGGCCAUUCCUGACGCUAAGACGCGAAAGCUAGGGGAGAGAACGGGAUUAGAAACCCCGGUAUUCCUAGCCGUAAACGAUGUCAACUAGGUGUAGGGGGUAUCCAACCCCCCCUGUGCUGCAGCAAACGCGGUAAGUUGACCGCCUGGGGACUACGGCCGCAAGGCUAAAACUCAAAUGAAUUGACGG